AGGGCACCACCAGGAGUGGAGCCUGCGGCUUAAUUUGACUCAACACGGGAAAACUUACCUGGUCAGGACACUGGAAGGAUUGACAGAUUGAGAGCUCUUUCUUGAUUCAGUGGGUGGUGGUGCAUGGCCGUUCUUAGUUGGUGGAGCGAUUUGUCUGGUUAAUUCCGAUAACGAACGAGACUCUAGCCUACUAAAUAGACUGCUCAACUUUAUAGCUGCAUCACCUUGCAGUCGCUUCGGUGGCUGUAAGGCUGUGGUGACGUUGGCAGUGCUUCUUAGAGGGACAGGCGGCGGUUCAGCCGCACGAAACAGAGCAAUAACAGGUCUGUGAUGCCCUUAGAUGUCCAGGGCCGCACGCGCGCUACACUGAAGUGAUCAGCGUGCAAUUAACGUUUCCUACUCCGUCAGGAGUGGGUAACCCGUUGAACCUUCUUCGUGAUUGGGAUAGGGGAUUGUAAUUAUUCCCCUUGAACGAGGAAUUCCCAGUAAGCGCAAGUCGUAAGCUUGCGUUGAUUACGU
rnacentral:rRNA from 1 species